rnacentral:rRNA from 1 species
AACGGAAGUUAGAGCUUCGGUUUUAACUUUAGUGGCGAACGGGUGAGUAACGCGUGAGGAACCUGCCUUUCAGUGGGGGACAACAGUUGGAAACGACUGCUAAUACCGAAUAAGUUCCAAGGGCCGCAUGGCCCAUGGAAGAAAAGGUGGCCUCUACCUGUAAGCUAUCGCCUGAAGAGGGGUUUGCGUCUGAUUAGCUGGUUGGAGGGGUAACGGCCCACCAAGGCGACGAUCAGUAGCCGGUCUGAGAGGAUGAACGGCCACACUGGAACUGAGACACGGUCCAGACUCC